rnacentral:rRNA from 1 species
CCCUUAGAUGUUCUGGGCCGCACGCGCGCUACACUGAUUCAUGCACUAAGUAUAUAACCUUGGUAGAAAUGCUUGGGUAAUCUUUGAAACUGAAUCGUGCUGGGGAUUGGAGCUUGUAAUUAUUCUCCAUGAACGAGGAAUUCCUAGUAAACGCGAGUCAUCAGCUCGCAUUGAUUACGUCCCUGCCCUUUGUACACACCGCCCGUCGCUCCUACCGAUUGAGUGGUCCGGUGAGGCUUUGGGAUCUGAGCGGAAAGAGCGUUUCGCUGUUUCUGCUCGGAAAACUCAGUCGAACCUUAUCAUUUAGAGGAAGGAGAAGUCGUAACA